rnacentral:pre_miRNA from 1 species
AUGAUACUUCCUCCGUUCGGAAUUACUUGUCGCAGAAAUAGAUGUAUCUAGACGUAUUUUAGUUCUAGAUACAUCCAUUUUCGAGACAAGUAAUUCCGAACGGAGGGAGUACUAG